rnacentral:rRNA from 1 species
GAUGAACGCUAGCUACAGGCUUAACACAUGCAAGUCGCGGGGCAGCAUGGGGGUUGCUUGCAAUCCCCGAUGGCGACCGGCGCACGGGUGAGUAACGCGUAUCCAACCUGCCCUUCACCACGGGAUAACCCGGCGAAAGUCGGACUAAUACCGUAUGUUUUCCAUUGACGGCAUCCGAUUUGGACGAAAGGUUUGGCGGUGAAGGAUGGGGAUGCGUCCGAUUAGCUGGACGGCGGGGUGACGGCCCACCGUGGCGACGAUCGGUAGGGGUUCUGAGAGGAAGGUCCCCCACACUGGAACUGAGACACGGUCCAGACUCCUACGGGAGGCAGCAGUGAGGAAUAUUGGUCAAUGGGCGUAAGCCUGAACCAGCCAAGUAGCGUGCAGGAUGACGGCCCUAUGGGUUGUAAACCGCUUUUAUGCGGGGAUAAAGUGGCCCACGUGUGGGUUUUUGCAGGUACCGCAUGAAUAAGGACCGGCUAAUUCCGUG